CCCCGCCCCCCCUUUUUCGGGGGGGUGGCCAGCGCCCGCCAGAGGACCAUCAAACUCCAGUCAGUAAACGAUGCAGUCUGAAAAACAUUUAAUAAACUAAAACUUUCAACAACGGAUCUCUUGGUUCUGGCAUCGAUGAAGAACGCAGCGAAAUGCGAUAAGUAAUGUGAAUUGCAGAAUUCAGUGAAUCAUCGAAUCUUUGAACGCACAUUGCGCCCUUUGGUAUUCCGAAGGGCAUGCCUGUUCGAGCGUCAUUACAACCCUCAAGCUCUGCUUGGUAUUGGGCACCGUCCUUUGCGGGCGCGCCUCAAAGACCUCGGCGGUGGCGUCUUGCCUCAAGCGUAGUAGAACAUACAUCUCGCUUCGGAGCGCAGGGCGUCGCCCGCCGGACGAACCUUCUGAACUUUUCUCAAGGUUGACCUCGGAUCAGGUAAGGGAACCCAAGUCC
rnacentral:rRNA from 1 species